rnacentral:rRNA from 1 species
AUGGGAGGGAAAAUGGAGGUUGAGAGGUCAUCGUGGAGCGAGGACGGCAACCUGGUUCAGGACGCGGUGGACUACCGGGGUUGCCCGGCCAGCAGGUCAAACACCGGCAGCUGGCUGGGAGCGGCAUCCAUCGUCGGCAUCGAGCUCUGCGAGCGGCUGGCCACCAUGGGCAUCGCCGUGAACCUGGUGACCUACCUCACGGACACCAUGCACCUGCCCAGCGCUGCGUCCGCCAACGUCGUCACCGACUUCAUGGGCACCUCCUUCCUCCUCUGCUUCCUCGGCGGCUUCCUCGCCGACGCCUUCCUCGGCCGCUACCUCACCAUCGCCAUCUUCGCGCUCGUCCAGGCGCUCGGCACCGGACUCCUCGCUGUGUCGACGACCAUACGCCAUCUCCGCCCGCCACCCUGCGGGGGCGCGGCACCAUGCGAGGAGGCCACGGGUCUGCAGAUGGGCGUGCUCUACGUGUGCCUCUACCUCAUCGCGCUCGGCACCGGCGGCCUCAAGUCUAGCGUCUCCGGCUUUGGCACCGACCAGUUUGACGAGCGUGAUGAUCGCGAGCGCGCCGCCAUGGGAUACUUCUUCGACCGUUUCUUCUUCUUCAUCAGCCUGGGCACACUUCUCGCAGUUACCGUCCUCGUCUACAUCCAGGACCAUGUCGGCCGGAGCUGGGCCUAUGGCCUCUGCUCUGGCGCCAUGCUCGUGGCCAUCGCAGUCUUCCUCUCGGGAACCAAGAGGUACCGCUACAAACGGAGCUCCGGCAGCCCGGUCGUGCACAUCCUCCAGGUCCUCGUCGCAGCCGCACGGAAGCGCGGCCUCAAGCAGCCGCUCACCGCCGCCGCGCUCUACGAGGACCGCCCCGAGCACGCGAGGAUCCACCACACCGCCCAGUUCUGGUGCUUGGACAACGCGGCCGUGAUGGCCGGUGAGGAGGACAAUGAGGUGGGGCCGGAUGGGCGGCCAGCACCGAACCCGUGGAAGCUGUGCUCGGUGUCCCGCGUGGAGGAGGUGAAGAUGGUGGCGAGGCUCAUGCCUGUGUGGGCGACGAUGAUCUUGUUCUGGACCAUCUACGCGCAGAUGAUCACCUUCUCGGUGGAGCAGGCGACCACCAUGGACCGGCGCAUCGGCGGCUUCGAGAUCCCAGCCGCGUCGCUCACCGUCUUCUUCGUUGGCGCCAUCAUGCUGACCCUCGCCGUCUACGACCGCGUCUUCAUCCCGCUAUGCCGAAACCUCACAGGCCGGCCGGGGUUCACUAACCUGGAAAAGAUCGGCAUCGGCCUGGUCCUGUCCAUCAUCGGCAUGGUCGCUGCUGCCAUCUGCGAGAAGAAGCGUCUCACGGUUGCCUCCACAGCCACGAAUGGGACUGCGCUGCCGAUCAGCGUGUUCAUGCUGAUUCCGCAGUUCCUGCUGGUGGGCGCGGGCGAGGCGUUCAUCUACACGGGGCAGCUGGACUUCUUCAUCACGCGAUCGCCCAAGAGCAUGAAGACCAUGAGCACCGGCCUCUUCCUCACCACGCUCUCCCUCGGCUUCUUCCUCAGCAGCGCCCUCGUCUCUCUCGUUAGGGGUGCCACCACCUGGCUCGGUGACACCAUCAAUCACAGCCGCCUUGAUUACUUCUACUGGCUACUCGCCGUGCUCGGUGCCAUCAACCUGGCCGCCUACCUCCUAUGCGCCAUGUGGGCCACGCCGGCCGCCAGCAGCAAGGCGGAGCAACCGCAUCAUGGAACAGCGGCCGACGAGAAAUGCUAG